rnacentral:tRNA from 1 species
UCUCGUUAGUAUAGUGGUUAGUAUACCCGCCUGUCACGCGGGUGACCCGGGUUCAAUUCCCGGACGGGAAGCUUCUUUU